rnacentral:rRNA from 1 species
CAGCCGCCGCGGUAAUACGUAGGUGGCAAGCGUUAUCCGGAAUUAUCGGGCGUAAAGCGCGCGCAGGCGGAUAGGUCAGUCUGUCUUAAAAGUUCGGGGCUUAACCCCGUGAUGGGAUGGAAACUGCCAAUCUAGAGUAUCGGAGAGGAAAGUGGAAUUCCUAGUGUAGCGAUGAAAUGUGUAGAUAUUAGGAAGAACACCAGUGGCGAAGGCGACUUUCUGGACGAAAACUGACGCUGAGGCGCGAAAGCCAGGGGAGCGAACGGGAUUAGAUACCCGUGUAGUCCCUGUCUCUUAUACC